UACAGAGGUCCCAAGCGUUGUUCGGAUUCACUGGGCAUAAAGGGUGCGUAGGUGGCUUGUUAAGUCAGGGGUGAAAGUUUUCGGCCCAACCGGAAAAUGGCCUUUGAUACUGGCGAGCUCGAGUGCGUGAGGGGUAACCGGAACGAGCAGUGUAGCGGUGAAAUGCGUAGAUAUUGCUCGGAAGGCCAACGGCGAAGGCAGGUUACUGGUGCGCAACUGACACUGAGGCACGAAAGCGUGGGGAGCAAACAGG
rnacentral:rRNA from 1 species